GUGGGGAAUAUUGGACAAUGGGCGAAAGCCUGAUCCAGCCAUGCCGCGUGUGUGAAGAAGGUCUUUGGAUUGUAAAGCACUUUAAGUUGGGAGGAAGGGCAGUAAGUUAAUACCUUGCUGUUUUGGCGUUACCGACAGAAUAAGCACCGGCUAACUUCGUGCCAGCAGCCGCGGUAAUACGAAGGGUGCAAGCGUUAAUCGGAAUUACUGGGCGUAAAGCGCGCGUAGGUGGUUUUGUAAGUUGGAGGUGAAAUCCCCGGGCUCAACCUGGGAACUGGCACCAAAACUGCAUGACUAGAGUACGGUAGAGGGUAGUGGAAUUUCCUGUGUAGCGGUGAAAUGCGUAGAUAUAGGAAGGAACACCAGUGGCGAAGGCGACUACCUGGACUGAUACUGACACUGAGGUGCGAAAGCGUGGGGAGCAAACAGGAUUAGAAACCCCGGUAGUCC
rnacentral:rRNA from 1 species